AGAUUGAACGCUGGCGGCAGGCCUAACACAUGCAAGUCGAGCGGCAGCACGGGUACUUGUACCUGGUGGCGAGCGGCAGACGGGUGAGUAAUGCCUAGGAAUCUGCCUGAUAGUGGGGGAUAACGUUCGGAAACGGACGCUAAUACCGCAUACGUCCUACGGGAGAAAGUGGGGGAUCUUCGGACCUCACGCUAUCAGAUGAGCCUAGGUCGAUUAGCUAGUUGGUAGGUAAAGGCCUACCAAGGCUACGAUCCGUAACUGGUCUGAGAGGAUGAUCAGUCACACUGGAACUGAGACA
rnacentral:rRNA from 1 species